rnacentral:lncRNA from 1 species
AGCUUGCCCUCAAGGUGGAGAAGAUGAUGAUGAAGACGAUGAAUCCUCGCUUGGCUUCAAUCUCCACCAAAAUCCUCUUCUUUGGGAGAGAUUUAGAGAGAGAAAGAGAGGCUUCUCUUUUCUCCUUCCAUGCGUGUGUGGGUGUGUCGUGGGUGCGGUUUGGGGCUGCUACGGCUGAGCAAGGAGAAGAAGAAAAGGGAUUUAAUCCCUUUUACGAUUUUGCCCCUCAAUUGUACACUAUUCAUUACGGGCAGCUUAAAAUCUGAUAAAUUUCGUUAGAGCCCUUCUGAAUGUCCGAUUGAGCUCAAAUUUGACAGGCAUGUUCGGUUUUACUUAAUAAGUCCAAAAAAAUUUUAAUAUUUUAGUUUCGACCCCAUUUGGUCACUGAAAACUGUACCGAACUGUAAUCUUUAUCAGAUAGCUUUAGGAUUUUAUUUCUCACUCUACGGGUGUCAGAAAAAUAUGAAACUUUAAGUCUAGCCUCAUUAAAAUAUUUCUGACAUCCCCGCCAAUUUUCAUAAUUUUCUGAGACUGUACAUUUUUUGCUAAUUUAUCUGUCCCAUUUCCAACAGAAAAUUCUAAAUCUCUUGUUUUCGCUCCGAUUUCAGCACAUGUCAUUCCCAACCUAUAUUUCACUUCUCUAAAUCCAAUAAAAACAGUAUCUCAUACUAUUUUUAUUUAUUUUUAUUUUUAUAUUUAAAAUCCGGUAUGUUACAUUCCACCGCAACCUCACCAGAACUAUUUAAACGUACACCGUAACUUCAUAAUUUUAUAAGUUCGGUAUGUUACAUUCUCCCCUCCUUAAAAAGAGUUUCGUCCUCGAAACUAACUCACUUCAACCCAAUCGAUACUCAAACUCGGUUUAUCGAGCAAUCGGGGAUUUCAAUGCACUUUCCUACCUCGGAGUGGCCUUUUACUUAUUGGAACUGUCCAAAAGUGCAUUACCACCAUGCAAGGAAUUGCUCUUUGCAUUAUACACCCAAUCGGAAAAUUUCACUCCGAUUCGAUCACCAGCAUUGCUUAGAAGCAAUUUCGUUGAUGCAUCGACCAAUCGCGAGUGCUUCAAUCCUCGACUAGAUCCUUGCUCCAUCACGAGAUAGCCCACUCUAGCACAUCUCGAAUCUCAAUCCAUAAAAGAGCAAUUUCCUCAAGCUCCAAUCCUCACGUGGCUAUUCAUUACUCAAGUGUCUCCUAGAGACCACUUUACUUUCUCUUUAUCCUUUGAUACUACAAGCCACGACUAACAUCCAUCCGCUCUUGCAACAAAUUCAUACAAACUCCUGUUCGUGAAUUCAAGCUUAAACUCGUUGAUAAGGCUACCCGCCUACCGUUUACCUUGAUCUCAUUGGUAAACCACACAGGUCACCAGUCCUACGUAGGCCUACAGCCCAACCUGUCGCAACUACGCAUAGCGUCUCUCGUUCGCUUCGUAGACCCAAUCAUCAUCGGGCGACAUUCUCAUUGGAGAAUUCGCACACACUCCAACCAGGAGCAACCAAAACCCCAAACCACGUCAAGUCCUCGGGUUAGGUCGCUACACACUCUAAGUGUCCUCGAUCUCACGAUCUAACACGUGGCAUUCCACGCUCCCGGGUCUAAGCUCGGACUACCGUCCUGACCAAAACUCUCUGCCCUACCCAUAGGUACCGGGCCGCUGCCUCUCGCAGCUGACUGCGCCUGCGCAAUGGGCCCAGGCUCCACAGUCCACA